rnacentral:piRNA from 1 species
UGGUGGUCUAGGCUUCAGUGGAGUUG